rnacentral:rRNA from 1 species
UACAGAGGUGGCAAGCGUUUGUUCGGAAUUACUGGGCGUAAAGGGCGCGUAGGUGGCCUUCUUAGUCAGACGUGAAAUCCCCGGGCUUAACUCGGGAACUGCGUCUGAUACUGGAAGGCUGGAGUUCGGGAGAGGAAUGUGGAAUUCCAGGUGUAGCGGUGAAAUGCGCAGAUAUCAGGAGGAACGACCGAGUGCGAAGGCAGCUCGCUGGGACGGUACU